CUUCCGCUUCUUCUAGUAUAACGCAUUUGAUUGGCUGAUAUGCGUGUCAAUCAAUGAUAGAGGGGAGGGGCUAAAUCUACGCAGCUCAUCGCAGACGGACAGGUGAGAGUGCAGUGCAUUGAUGUUCUAACCUGUGAUCCGACUAAACACGUAUUAUAUAAUACUUACAUUUAUUUCAUAUCAUACUUUUACUGUAUGGAAGGAAGUAAAUUAGCACGGUCACUCAGAAAUAUGAUCUGUAAAUAUGAUAAUUACCUAUUCAGACUUCAGAAUUAUGGACCCAAAAUGCUUUAUUUCUUCUCUACAAGAAAGCCCAAAUUAAAAUAAGUUUAUCAUCAGUUUAAUAGUUAUUUCUAAUAUUUAUUCUAAUGGACAAUAUCUCUUAUAUAGAAAUCCACUGUGGACACAAUUCUUCCACAAUUAUUUAAAUAAGUGUUGCUCGUCAGUGAGAUUCGUCAAACGGCCAUCAUGAUCUUUUGAUGGCAUCAUAUGACUCUGUAAUGUACGUAAGAAUGUGCCUCCAAUGAAUUGGCAUCUACUGUACCUUGCCAGUAAUAUGACACUUUAUUCACGGAACUGGAGAGUGCGACACCUGCUGGGUUUAGGAACAGAGCUCCUGAAGUGCUGAAUCGUCAGCAGGUUCUUUAGCUCAUGGAUUUCAGCCUCGUCCAGGGGUUGGUGCCUCUGACCUCUAAGGGUGCAUCAUUGUAGUAGAUGUGGUUGCACAAAUCCUCCAGCGGGGGCUCUGGAUCAGAGAUCUGCAAAAAUCAGCUGCAAACCUGGUUGCCUCUCGCACACCUAGAACAUCCAUACCAUCCACCUGGAGAAAACAAAGAAAAAGGCUUAUUUGCUCUCAUGUGCCUUUCUGUACAUCUGUAAAAUGUUGCAUGCACUGGCACACCUCUGGUGUAGGUGUAACCAUGAGCCCUAUAUGCCGUGAUCACAUGAUCCAUGGGACUGAUACCAGCCUCAAUGCCAACAGCACAUGCUUCCUGAGAGAGCUGAUCCGCCUUCAGCUCCAUGCGUCUCAUGGUCUGCAUAGUGCGGUAGUACCUGAGUCCAUCCUCUCUGCUGGCCUGAGGUGUGAAGUCUGCAAAAGAACGUGCUGAUACCACCACGCUGGAGCCCUGGAGAAGAGUGGAGUGCAGAGCAGUAAUAAAACUAUAAAGCAUUUUAAAACAGAGAUACUGAAAAAAUGCAUUUCAUCAUGUGAGAUAUUGAACGCCAUUCAAUACUGUGAAACACUAAUGUAGGCCUACCUAAAAUAAAUAA